AUGUCUGUCUCUCUAUCUACAUUGUUCGAUGCUUUUUUAAUUAAUUGCAAAUUACUAAGCAGAAGCAGAGAAAAUUUCGCGAAUCCAAAUCGCAUUUAUUUCAGAAGUUUGUGCAAAAUCUUGUGUUCUAUACUCGAAAGUGUUUAAUAUAUUGUGCGAGGAGAGCAAUAAUUUUGAAACAUACCUACAAAAAAGAAAAUUCGACCGCGAAAAACAGAAAUUAUUGAGUAGUGCAAUUUGCUGGCGAAAACUUCACAAAGGCAAACCGAAAUUGUAUAACAAAGCAGAAGAAGUUGGAGAAAGAAGAACUUACGCUUUGAAAAUUCUACUAUCUUACAUUUUGGCCUAUGUACAUUGUAGUUACAAAUUCAAAAAUAUUGCGUGGUGCAAAAGCUUAAUAAAAGCAACUUAAAACUUCCAUAACUUAGCAAACAAGUACUUUACUUGCUCAAAUUACAGCAAAUAUCUACCGGCAGGAAACAUUUUAUAAAACAAAUAAAUACAUACAUACAUAUUUAUUUAUGCAAUUGCAAAAAAAUUUAAGUAAAUGUUAGAGUGAACUGAAAUUUUUGGGCGUAAAAACCGGAACUGCAGACUGUUUCGUGUGCCUUUAAUAGAAGGAAUGAGUGAAAUUUUCCAAUAAAAAAAAAAAAAAAACAUUAAAAUAUCUGUAAACUCAUAUGUAUCUACAUUAGUAUAUACUAACUCAGUGUUUAUAAAGUGAACUGCAAAGUAUUUACCAAGCGCACUUCAAAUCUUUUUGUAGUCUACGCCGACGAUUUUUUGUGUAAUUGGCUAUUUUUAGCAUAUCGAUGUGCCGAAAGUGCAUUAAGGCUUCCCAGUAGUUAAAAAAAAAAAUCGCAAAAAUAUCGAAAUAAUACGCAAGCAAUAAAUGUAAAAGUCUUGUCCGGAACUGAUUGCUAUUGUCGCCAAAGGUUUAUUCCGCAAAACAAUAAGUAUUUCAACAACAAAAAAAAAAAAUUAAAAAGACUGUGGAAAAUUCAAAUUAAAGUGCUUAGUUGCGUCACAUGUGCCCGUAUGUAUGUAAUUUUCUCCUCGACUAAAACGAUCCAACAGUAGCUUCCACCUCUUCUAAAAACAUAUGCGUAUUGUGUUCUCGUUUUACAUACCUAUGAACAUGCAAACAACAAAUUAACGCAACGCUAUCACAUAAUCAACGCCAACAUACCUAAAUACAUUUACAUACAUAAAUAUAUAACCAUACUUUUAUGCAAUAAAUAUUAAAUGCAAUUGUACCGUAUUGGAAUUUGGAAUUAAAAGCCAGCAUACUCCUUGGUGUAAAGUGAAAGCAAAAAAAACCAAAAAAAAAAUUGAAAUAAGUCCAUACCUACAGAUAUAAAACACCUGUGAAUUGCUCAAAGUGUGUUUCAGAGGCCGCCACCCGGCUACGCGCCUGCAGAAGAAAAUAUUAACAAAUCGUUGGUGCCAUACAAACAUUCAUACGCUCUCACAAAAAGUCUAAAAUACUUGCUUAUUGCAGUUAAUUUGCCGAAAGCCGCAAAGUGUCAAGCAAAGUAAAGUGCCAAGUAAAGAUAGUGGACAAAAACAAAAGUGCUAAAAAGCGUAUGUCUAGAAACAGAGAAGAACUGAUAAGAGAAUAAAUAGCAGACUCAGCCCCAUUAGCUAAGCGAAAGUGUCGAAAAGCAACAAGCUGAAAGUGCCAACAAAACAGGAGAAGCAAAUAAAAACAAAAAGACGAAAUAAAGAAAACAGCAAAGCAAAGAUACAUAAAUAAGUAAAUAUUCGGUGAGAAAUAGCGCGUUGAUUGGCGGAAGCAAACAAAAAUUCUGAAAGAUCUGAAAUACAAAGUGGCAUGUGAAUGCAGCACGCUAUACACGAGAUACUGGAAUUUAAAUAAAGUAGCAGAAAAAAACGAAAAAAAAAAAAAAAAAAAAAAAUAAAUAUUAAUAAGGACCAAACAUAGAAAGAAAGAGUGAAGAAUUGCUAAAAUAAAAGCUAAAUUAAAAACAAAUCAAAGUAAUAAGUAGCAAAUACUCAAGUAAAAAGCUAUAAGUACAAUCUACAAUAAAAAGUGUGUGCAACUUGAAGUGUUGAAAAAAAAAAUUAAAAUCCGCAAUUUUGGAAAACAGUAUAAAACUACUAAAAACAGUUGAAAUUGCAGAAACUUAAAUCGAGUGCUCUCUACAAUACAUUAAUUGAUUAUUUUGCAAAAAAAAAAACAAAAGUAAUUGCUCCAUAAAAGUAGUGCGUUUACAUUGUGCUGCCAGACGAAAUUUGAAGCAAGAAUUUGUAAACACAGAA
rnacentral:lncRNA from 1 species